UGAGAAUGAGGCUUUGCUCUCAGAGAGGCGGCAAAGAAGGCGGUUGCUCUGCCUCUCUGAACGACUGUGGAGCCGAUGAUUUCUCCGUCGUUUGUGUAAUAGCCGCCGUAUGUCUGUGUGCAUUAUCAUCAUCAUUCUCUCCUUUUUCGGGCUCUCUUUCUUUCUUGGUUACAAAUAGGCUGUGACGAUUUUAGGGUUUUAGAGUGCAAAAGAAAGACGAUAAGGAAUAGUUUGAUUGUUGGCGGGCAGUAUGGAGAUUUUUCGUGAAAGACUUUUCUUUUUUCAAAUAGAGAGCUCCAUUUUUGCAGCCAUGGUCUCUUUGUUCCUUUUCUUGUCUGAUUAAAGGUGAAUCUGAGCCUCCAUCCUCUACAAUCUCUCGCUCUCUUCACUUUCUUCGAUUUUUGUCUUUUUUUUUUCUUGGAUAAAAAAUUUGCAAUUGCUUUGCAUGAAAUAUGCUGUGUGAAUGGUUCAAGUACGAGGCUUUGCUCUCAGUGAGAGGCGGUUGGUUUCAGGGUGGUUGACUCGGUCCUUCCUGAUAGCUAGCGGAGCCAGUGACUACUAAUUACGUUUUUUAUGUUGGCAACAACCUUUAUACCAAUAUAUCUGCUUUCUUUCUUGUCUGUGGGCUAUGAUGAUAUAUUCUUUGAGCCUGAAAAGUUGGACUGAAGGAGAAAUACUCAAUUUCUUGGCAAGGCAACCUUUUGUUGUUGUAGCGCCGAUGUUGUGGUGUUUCUUUCCUGUCCAAUUUGAAGGCAUAUCUGAUCUGAGCCUUCUCUUUCUCCAGAUUUCUCUGGUUCUGUUUGGGCCUCCAUCCUCUACAAUCUCUCACUCUUCAUAUUCUUCGAUUUUUAUUCUGUUAUUUUUUUUCUAAAAUGAAAAGUUGGCAAUUGCUUUUGCAUGAAAUAUGUGUACCUUAAGAUUUCUGUGUGAAUGGUUUAAGUACGAGGCUUUGCUCUCAGUGAGAGGCGGUUGGUUUCAGGGUGGUUGACUCUGUCCUUCCUGAUAGCUAGCGGAGCCAGUGACUACUAAUUACGUUUUUUAUGUUGGCAACAACCUUUAUA